AUUCAGCUGACGAGUCCCAAAUCGAGACGAAAUGUGCAUCCUGGAU
rnacentral:hammerhead_ribozyme from 1 species